rnacentral:rRNA from 1 species
AUUGAACGCUGGCGGCAGGCCUAACACAUGCAAGUCGAGCGGAUGAAGGGAGCUUGCUCCUGGAUUCAGCGGCGGACGGGUGAGUAAUGCCUAGGAAUCUGCCUGGUAGUGGGGGAUAACGUCCGGAAACGGGCGCUAAUACCGCAUACGUCCUGAGGGAGAAAGUGGGGGAGCUUCGGACCUCACGCUAUCAGAUGAGCCUAGGUCGGAUUAGCUAGUUGGUGGGGUAAAGGCCUACCAAGGCGACGAUCCGUAACUGGUCUGAGAGGAUGAUCAGUCACACUGGAACUGAGACACGGUCCAGACUCCUACGGGAGGCAGCAGUGGGGAAUAUUGGACAAUGGGCGAAAGCCUGAUCCAGCCAUGCCGCGUGUGUUAAGAAGGUCUUCGGAUUGUAAAGCACUUUAAGUUGGGAGGAAGGGCAGUAAGUUAAUACCUUGCUGUUUUGACGUUACCAACAGAAUAAGCACCGGCUAACUUCGUG